UUAAGCGACUAAGCGUACACGGUGGAUGCCCUGGCAGUCAGAGGCGAUGAAGGACGUGCUAAUCUGCGAUAAGCGUCGGUGAGGUGAUAUGAACCGUUAUAACCGGCGAUUUCCGAAUGGGGAAACCCAGUGUGUUUCGACACACUAUCAUUAACUGAAUCCAUAGGUUAAUGAGGCGAACCGGGGGAACUGAAACAUCUAAGUACCCCGAGGAAAAGAAAUCAACCGAGAUUCCCCCAGUAGCGGCGAGCGAACGGGGAGGAGCCCAGAGCCUGAAUCAGUGUGUGUAUUAGUGGAAGCGUCUGGAAAGGCGCGCGAUACAGGGUGACAGCCCCGUACACAAAAAUGCACAUGCUGUGAGCUCGAUGAGUAGGGCGGGACACGUGGUAUCCUGUCUGAAUAUGGGGGGACCAUCCUCCAAGGCUAAAUACUCCUGACUGACCGAUAGUGAACCAGUACCGUGAGGGAAAGGCGAAAAGAACCCCGGCGAGGGGAGUGAAAAAGAACCUGAAACCGUGUACGUACAAGCAGUGGGAGCCUCUUAAUGGGGUGACUGCGUACCUUUUGUAUAAUGGGUCAGCGACUUAUAUUCUGUAGCAAGGUUAACCGAAUAGGGGAGCCGAAGGGAAACCGAGUCUUAACUGGGCGUUAAGUUGCAGGGUAUAGACCCGAAACCCGGUGAUCUAGCCAUGGGCAGGUUGAAGGUUGGGUAACACUAACUGGAGGACCGAACCGACUAAUGUUGAAAAAUUAGCGGAUGACUUGUGGCUGGGGGUGAAAGGCCAAUCAAACCGGGAGAUAGCUGGUUCUCCCCGAAAGCUAUUUAGGUAGCGCCUCGUGAAUUCAUCUCCGGGGGUAGAGCACUGUUUCGGCAAGGGGGUCAUCCCGACUUACCAACCCGAUGCAAACUGCGAAUACCGGAGAAUGUUAUCACGGGAGACACACGGCGGGUGCUAACGUCCGUCGUGAAGAGGGAAACAACCCAGACCGCCAGCUAAGGUCCCAAAGUCAUGGUUAAGUGGGAAACGAUGUGGGAAGGCCCAGACAGCCAGGAUGUUGGCUUAGAAGCAGCCAUCAUUUAAAGAAAGCGUAAUAGCUCACUGGUCGAGUCGGCCUGCGCGGAAGAUGUAACGGGGCUAAACCAUGCACCGAAGCUGCGGCAGCGACACUAUGUGUUGUUGGGUAGGGGAGCGUUCUGUAAGCCUGUGAAGGUGGCCUGUGAGGGUUGCUGGAGGUAUCAGAAGUGCGAAUGCUGACAUAAGUAACGAUAAAGCGGGUGAAAAGCCCGCUCGCCGGAAGACCAAGGGUUCCUGUCCAACGUUAAUCGGGGCAGGGUGAGUCGACCCCUAAGGCGAGGCCGAAAGGCGUAGUCGAUGGGAAACAGGUUAAUAUUCCUGUACUUGGUGUUACUGCGAAGGGGGGACGGAGAAGGCUAUGUUGGCCGGGCGACGGUUGUCCCGGUUUAAGCGUGUAGGCUGGUUUUCCAGGCAAAUCCGGAAAACCAAGGCUGAGGCGUGAUGACGAGGCACUACGGUGCUGAAGUGACAAAUGCCCUGCUUCCAGGAAAAGCCUCUAAGCAUCAGGUAACAUCAAAUCGUACCCCAAACCGACACAGGUGGUCAGGUAGAGAAUACCAAGGCGCUUGAGAGAACUCGGGUGAAGGAACUAGGCAAAAUGGUGCCGUAACUUCGGGAGAAGGCACGCUGAUAUGUAGGUGAAGCGACUUGCUCGUGGAGCUGAAAUCAGUCGAAGAUACCAGCUGGCUGCAACUGUUUAUUAAAAACACAGCACUGUGCAAACACGAAAGUGGACGUAUACGGUGUGACGCCUGCCCGGUGCCGGAAGGUUAAUUGAUGGGGUUAGCGGUAACGCGAAGCUCUUGAUCGAAGCCCCGGUAAACGGCGGCCGUAACUAUAACGGUCCUAAGGUAGCGAAAUUCCUUGUCGGGUAAGUUCCGACCUGCACGAAUGGCGUAAUGAUGGCCAGGCUGUCUCCACCCGAGACUCAGUGAAAUUGAACUCGCUGUGAAGAUGCAGUGUACCCGCGGCAAGACGGAAAGACCCCGUGAACCUUUACUAUAGCUUGACACUGAACAUUGAGCCUUGAUGUGUAGGAUAGGUGGGAGGCUUUGAAGUGUGGACGCCAGUCUGCAUGGAGCCGACCUUGAAAUACCACCCUUUAAUGUUUGAUGUUCUAACGUUGGCCCGUAAUCCGGGUUGCGGACAGUGUCUGGUGGGUAGUUUGACUGGGGCGGUCUCCUCCUAAAGAGUAACGGAGGAGCACGAAGGUUGGCUAAUCCUGGUCGGACAUCAGGAGGUUAGUGCAAUGGCAUAAGCCAGCUUGACUGCGAGCGUGACGGCGCGAGCAGGUGCGAAAGCAGGUCAUAGUGAUCCGGUGGUUCUGAAUGGAAGGGCCAUCGCUCAACGGAUAAAAGGUACUCCGGGGAUAACAGGCUGAUACCGCCCAAGAGUUCAUAUCGACGGCGGUGUUUGGCACCUCGAUGUCGGCUCAUCACAUCCUGGGGCUGAAGUAGGUCCCAAGGGUAUGGCUGUUCGCCAUUUAAAGUGGUACGCGAGCUGGGUUUAGAACGUCGUGAGACAGUUCGGUCCCUAUCUGCCGUGGGCGCUGGAGAACUGAGGGGGGCUGCUCCUAGUACGAGAGGACCGGAGUGGACGCAUCACUGGUGUUCGGGUUGUCAUGCCAAUGGCACUGCCCGGUAGCUAAAUGCGGAAGAGAUAAGUGCUGAAAGCAUCUAAGCACGAAACUUGCCCCGAGAUGAGUUCUCCCUGAGACUUAGAGUCUCCUGAAGGAACGUUGAAGACGACGACGUUGAUAGGCCGGGUGUGUAAGCGCAGCGAUGCGUUGAGCUAACCGGUACUAAUGAACCGUGAGGCUUAACCUU
rnacentral:rRNA from 2 species